UACGUAGGGUGCGAGCGUUGUCCGGAAUUAUUGGGCGUAAAGAGCUUGUAGGCGGUUUGUCGCGUCUGCUGUGAAAACUCGGGGCUUAACCCCGGGCCUGCAGUGGGUACGGGCAGACUAGAGUGCGGUAGGGGAGACUGGAAUUCCUGGUGUAGCGGUGAAAUGCGCAGAUAUCAGGAGGAACACCGGUGGCGAAGGCGGGACUCUGGGCCGAUACUGACGCUGAGGAGCGAAAGCGUGGGGAGCAAACAGG
rnacentral:rRNA from 1 species